UACGUAGGUGGCAAGCGUUGUCCGGAUUUAUUGGGCGUAAGCGCGCGCAGGUGGUGCGGUAAGUCUGCCGUGAAAUCUCCCGGCUCAACUGGGAGGGGCGGUGGAGACUGCCGGACUGGAGGGACCUAGAGGCCGGUGGAAUUCCCGGUGGAGUGGUGAAAUGCGUAGAGAUCGGGAGGAACACCAGUGGCGAAGGCAGGUCUCUGGGCCACUACUGACGCUGAGAAGCGAAAGCAUGGGGAGCGAACAGG
rnacentral:rRNA from 1 species